GUGGAGUUGUGGCUCAGUGGCAGAGCACCUGCCUAGCAUGUGUGAGGCUCUGGGUUCAAUUCUCAGCACCACA
rnacentral:tRNA from 1 species